AUCGUUGGGGGCCCACUAGGCCCAGAUGAUAGCAAUCGUCCGAUGAGAUUUGUCACAUUUCCACGGUUGGGAUUGUAGAUCUGAACGGAAUUGUGACGCGAAAAGGGGGAAGUGUCGUAAUGAACAACUCUAAGGGUAAAAUCGUAAGAGAGACAAUAAGAUUAAAAAUAAUAUUCCCUGGCAAAGUCCACUGAAGCCUGAAGCCGGCGUCAGCUUGUUGGGGUUUAAAGCCCAUAAAAUUCAAGACUGAACCCAAAAGGCCCAAAUACCAGCCGUAACUCUGGUGCUUUCUCACUUUCCCUGCAAGUCUGCUCCUAUCAAAUGAGUUUCUUCUUCCUUCUCCUAAAACCCUAGCAAUGGCCUCUCUGCAACUCUGCUCCGCGAACCCUAGACUGGCGUUGCUAAAUCCUUCAUUUAAACCCUUUUUAAAUCCAAGAACCCUAAAACCCCCAAAACCCUACCAAAAACGAAAGCCCACCGCCAUUUCUUCAGUCCUUCAAUGGAAUAGAAAGCCUGAGCUGGCAGGCGAGACCCCGCGCGUGGUGGUUAUAACAUCCGGGAAAGGCGGGGUCGGCAAGACCACAACCACUGCCAACGUUGGACUUUCCUUGGCCCGCCUCGGAUUCUCCGUAGUAGCCAUCGACGCAGACGUUGGCCUCCGGAACCUAGACCUCCUCUUAGGUCUCGAGAACCGCGUGAACUACACGGUCGUCGAGGUCCUCAACGGGGAUUGCCGACUGGAUCAGGCAUUGGUUCGAGACAAGCGCUGGUCAAACUUCGAAUUGCUUUGCAUUUCUAAACCCAGAUCGAAACUCCCCAUCGGAUUCGGUGGGAAAGCGUUGGUUUGGCUGGUCGACGCGCUGAAAGCGCGCGAAGAAGGUUCUCCGGAUUUUAUAUUAAUAGAUUGCCCGGCGGGGAUUGAUGCAGGUUUUAUAACGGCCAUAACGCCAGCAAACGAGGCGGUUUUGGUGACGACGCCGGAUAUAACUAGCUUAAGAGACGCGGACAGAGUGACGGGGCUUUUAGAAUGUGAUGGUAUAAGGGACAUAAAAAUGAUAGUAAACAGAGUGAGGACGGAUAUGAUAAAGGGCGAAGAUAUGAUGUCGGUUUUGGAUGUGCAAGAGAUGUUGGGGUUGGCAUUGUUAGGAGUGAUUCCCGAGGACUCCGAGGUUAUCAGAAGCACCAAUAGAGGGUAUCCGCUUGUUCUGAAUAAGCCACCUACGCUUGCUGGAUUGGCGUUCGAGCAGGCCGCUUGGAGGCUUGUUGAGCAGGACAGUAUGAAGGCUGUUAUGGUUGAGGAGGAGCCCAAAAAGCGUGGAUUUUUCUCAUUUUUUGGAGGGUAGCCACAAGGGGCAGUUUGUUUCGGGUGGGGUUGAUCUUGGUGAGGUCUGAGGAGCUAUGUACAGUGAGUAAAGUAUCAUAGCUUGCGCUUAUCUGUUGCGGUGAGAUAUGGGUGAUUCGAAUACAAGUCGACCAAUGACAGGCAGUGUACAAUAUGAUUACAGUACUUUUUAAAGUGUGUUGCACGAUAAGCAGUUACAACAUUGGAGCUUUUGCCUGCCUCAUGACAUUUUCAUGGUCUCCAAAGCUUCACCCUAAGAAGCGGAAUCGGUUUUUUUUUUCUUUUGGAUUUGGG